rnacentral:lncRNA from 1 species
AUGGUGGGGUCCAGGGGCCUGAGCCACCGGGACAGGUGCAGUGGCUGCUGGAGACAUGGUGGUAAAUGUGGAAUACACUCCUAUGACAUAAUGUCUGGUGUGGUAUAUAAACCAGUCACAGGCACUUGCCAUCAUUAUCUGGCACUGUAUUACAUACUGUACAUGAGUGUGUGUGCUAGGCUUAUCUUGGUUUUGGUUUUUAACAUUUUUUGUGAAUUUUUUGAGACAGAGUUUCACUAUGUAGUUCAGGCUGGCCUGAAACUAUGUAGCCACGGCUGGCUUCAAACUUGUGGCGCUCCUCCUGCCUCAGCCUCCAGAGAGCUGGGACUGGAGGCAUGGACCACCAUGGCUGAGCAGCAUUGGUCCAGUGACUGUUACCCCGGAAGAGCCGAGACUGGCUUCCCUUUGGAGGCUCAGGCCCGGGCAGGUCUGAAGCUGGACGUGCCGUACGUUCCAGCGCUGUAUGGAUACCGGAGGGGGCCUGAGGACAGCCUGCCAGCAGAGGGCGCAGGGACACCGCCCCUUCCAUGCCCAGUGCCCUGCACUGAGGGGCGUUACAUGAACUUCCCCCGACUCGUCUGGUCUCACUCGCAUCUUCCCAGUGAGGGAACUGCUGCAGCGACUGGCCAGGUCGGAAGCCUGGAUUAGUAAGGUGCAGCUCACCUGCAGAGCCGCCACCUGCAGAAGUUUGGAAAAACAGUGGAAUACAGAGUGUCCUGGGACGUGGACUUGAGAUACCUGGAAAAGGACAACUUAGUGAAGACAGAGGAGAAAAAAAAAAAGAAGCAGAUUUCUGAGAAUUGGGAGGGAGCUGAAGUGCAUUUUAGACUUUAGGGAUUUUGUUCUUUUAAGAUUUCAGCAUUCAGGAUUAGGACAUUUGGGAUUGUGUCUUUCAGGAUUAGGCC